UGACAUCCCCGUGACCGGUGAGUAAUGUCACCUUUCCUUCGGGACAGGGGAGACAGGUGGUGCAUGGUUGUCGUCAGCUCGUGUCGUGAGAUGUUGGGUUAAGUCCCGCAACGAGCGCAACCCUUAUCYUUAGUAGCCGCAUUACGGAUGGGCACUCUAGRGAGACUGCCAGGGACAACCUGGAGGAAGGUGGGGAUGACGUCAAAUCAUCAUGCCCCUUAUGACCAGGGCUACACACGUGCUACAAUGGCGUAAACAAAGGGAAGCGAAGSAGUGAUCCGGAGCAAAUCUCAAAAAUAACGUCUCAGUUCGGAUUGUAGUCUGCAACUCGACUACAUGAAGCUGGAAUCGCUAGUAAUCGCGAAUCAGCAUGUCGCGGGAAUACGUUCCCGGGUCUUGUACACACCG
rnacentral:rRNA from 1 species